GAUGAACGCUGGCGGCGUGCCUAACACAUGCAAGUCGAGCGAUCUUCUUCGGAAGAGAGCGGCGGACGGGUGAGUAACGCGUGGGUAACCUGCCCUGUACACACGGAUAACAUACCGAAAGGUAUGCUAAUACGAGAUAAUAUACUUUUAUCGCAUGGUAGAAGUAUCAAAGCUUUUGCGGUACAGGAUGGACCCGCGUCUGAUUAGCUAGUUGGUAAGGUAACGGCUUACCAAGGCGACGAUCAGUAGCCGACCUGAAAGGGUGAUCGGCCACAUUGGAACUGAGACACGGUCCAAACUCCUACGGGAGGCAGCAGUGGGGAAUAUUGCACAAUGGGCGAAAGCCUGAUGCAGCAACGCCGCGUGAGCGAUGAAGGCCUUCGGGUCGUAAAGCUCUGUCCUCAAGGAAGAUAAUGACGGUGCUUGAGGAGGAAGCCCCGGCUAACUACGUGCCAGCCGCCGCCGUAA
rnacentral:rRNA from 1 species